rnacentral:rRNA from 1 species
UACGGAGGGUGCAAGCGUUAUCCGGAUUCACUGGGUUUAAAGGGAGCGCAGGCGGGCUGGUAGGUCAGUGGUGAAAGCCUUGAGCUUAACUCGAGAACUGCCAUUGAUACUAUCAGUCUUGAAUAUUGUUGAGGUUUGCGGAAUGGGUCAUGUAGCGGUGAAAUGCAUAGAUAUGACCCGGAACACCUAUUGCGAAGGCAGCAGGCUAAACAAAGAUUGACGCUGAGGCUCGAAAGCGUGGGGAUCAAACAGG